GAAAUAUUACAUUUAUUUAUAAAAUAGAUAUAUUAAGAAUUUAUCACUGUGCAAAUAAGAGCAGGCACCGUAUAGAGCACUUUAUAAGGGUGAAAACAAAUGUUAAUCAUAUCAAGAUUAUAUUUCAUCCCUAAGUACAAAAAAAAUCAAAACUCUUCCUGUUUUGAAAAACAAAACAAAACAAGUGCUAAGAAAAUAUCAGCUUUACGAUUAGAACAUUUACCAAAAACUAAUUUCAUUUCUUAAACAUAGCAGAACAGAGAUGAUGGAAUAUCAUAUGACAGCACAUUUAUCCACGUUGCCUCAGUACUUAUUGCUACCUACUAGGAUGAAAUGCAAACCUAAAGACUUGUGCAAAAAGCCUAAGCUUACAGAGUAGUUUGUUCUUUGAAACAACUACAAAGAUACAGCAUAUACCUCACUAAUGCCAUGCGACACUCAAACUAUAAAUGUCUAUUUGUUAUCCAGGAAUUACAGGUCUGCAUUCAAAUACAACAUAUGGUACAUACUUAAAACGUAUUUAAACUUAUGCUGAUAAUCCAUGCUUACUUGUAUUGUGUAUAUUUUUACCCUGACCACAACAACCACUUCCGAAAACCAAAUCAUGCAGGAUACCUGGUGUCCCGACUGAGCUCAGGUCUCAACAGAGUGAAAAAACACAAAACAAAAAAACAAAAGCAGGAGAGAUGCAGAUGUCAUUACACACCAAAAGAUUACAGCACCUCCUUUAUCCCCUCCCUCAUGGAUGUUUCAGAAACUUGCAUUUUUAAAGCACUUGUUCUGCUUUUACAGUUCUGUCUCUUUUUCUCCCUCAUCAUCUGUUUCUAAGUAGUAUUCGUCAUCAGUUGUUGUGUCCGAGCUGCUGUCUGAUGACUCAUCAAAGGUGCUGAGGCUGGAUACAUAACCUCUGGAGGGCAAAUGCCCCCUGGACUGGCUGUCCCCUGGAUGUAGUACUCCUGGCGAGCUAGGAAAGGUCGGAGAGGAAAGGCUGGGUGCUUUGGACAUGCGCCUGGACACUGGUGACAGAGGAGGUGUUGGAGGAGGAGUGGGUGGGGCCUCUGCAUCCCACACAAACUGGCAAAUGUUCAUGUUUGGACUCCGGAGGUGAGCAGGCUUGGAAGCUGUAGCAUUUACAUGUUGAGGAGAGUCUCCAGAGCUCCAGUUUGCCAAGCACCUGGUCAGCGAUCGAGGCAAAGAUCUUGAUCGCAUUUUACCAGGAUCACUUGGGAAAUAUGAUUUUCGACCAUCUUCAGAAGCCUGAAAGUCAUACACUGUGCUCCAAUCGGAUUUGACAGACCACUGAUCCAAAUCUCCACUAUUACCUCCACAAGAAAAGGCAGACUGAGAGAGGUCACCCACACUCAUGAAUCUGGAUCCUGUGGAAAUACGUCCCGGUCCAGAGGGUCGACUGGAGAGAACAGAACUCACAGAAAAGGACUUCCCAGGCUCAAUGCCAUACUUUAAGUCUGCAUAAGAGGAUGCCAAGUUUUCCUUGUCAUGUCCUGGGCUCACACAUGGAGGACCUACGGAUGCCCGGCUUUUUCUCGGAACUCCCAAGCUGAUCCCUUCUCCGUGCUCGCACGGAGAGGAGCAUUCUCUGCGGCGGUGCAGCUUUGGGCUGUAGAAGACGCUGUCGUCUGUUACAUCAGACGAGGAAAAUGGGGACAUUGGUGAAAGAGAGGAGAAGGGAGAGAAUGGACUCCUGGGACUAGGUGUGGAUCUCCUGAAUGAAGCUGGAAAAGCUGGACUUCUACUGGGACUUGGAUCUCUGGAAGAGAGGCUUGUUGCUUUAUAAUCUACUUGGUCUUGUUCAAGGUCUAACUGGUCAACUGUUGGACCGUGGACCGUCAGAUAAACUGGGCCUUUCUUUUCAGAAAUUUGUUCUGCACAAGCAUUUUGCAUGUCACGGUCUGUUUCUAGAGAUGAUUUUUCGGUCCAGCUGGAAUGCUGAUUUCCAACUUUUGUGUUUCCAGCAGCCGAGGACGGUAUCAGAAUGUAUCUAUCUUGCGUCCACCUGUUCGAAGCCUCUGUUUCCUGAUUGUCGUUCAGCACCAUUACUUUCUCUGGCACUGUUUCCUCUGGAAUUUUGCUACUCUCAACACUCACAUCGCUCGAUCCGCUAACAGAAGGUGCUUGUGAGGUUGACCAUCUUGUGCUUAAUUUUUGCUUUAGUUUGCUAAAGACUUGGUCUACUUUGUUGUUACUCUUGGCCCUGUCUGACUCUGACCUUGUCAAACUGGAGUUUGGUGUACUGACGCUCUUCUUCAGUGCAAAUCGGCUUCUCUUUGUGUUUUGUUCAUUAUUAACGUCCACUGAGAAAAACCUGCUUUUCCCCAUUAUAGUCUCCUUCAUGCUUUUGCUGGAGUCUUCUGUCUCCCGGGACUGACUCUCUGUUGAGCUGCUGCUGUUGGAGCUCUGACCUGAAUGACGACAUGGUUCACCUGCUGCUCC
ensembl:lncRNA